CCCCCCCGCCCCCCGGUCUAAGGUCCCCGACUGGGGCCACAAGUCCCUAAGGACUCCUGGGUCCCUAGAUUAUUAGCACAAAGCUUCUUGGGUAGUUGAGAAGCUUCGGGCUCCCCUUUCUCAGGGCCUAAAAAUAACCAGGCAAGAGGAACUCUGAGUAGCUAGCAAAUGUGCCAGCCAGCACCCCACGCAGCGGAAGCGCCUCCAAAUAAGGCCUAGACAAAGCGGAAGACAGCACGCAAGCCCGUCAGCACUGACGUGGAUUCCAGAACCUGCCCUCCCUGUACCCUCAGAGUCUCCCCUGGAGCCUGUGUGACUCAGGGACGCAGGAGUCGGAUUUGUUCACGGUGUCCAGAGCUUACUGGGCAAUUCAUUAAAGCAGUCUGCCCUUGGGUCCUGGAACUUUUAAGUUCCUGACAGGAGUAUGGAGCUGCAAGUGAGGACUCUGAGGCUGAGCUUUACUGAGUCAACAGUGAACAUGGAGCUGGAGCCACUCUUAACUGGCUAACACCUGUAUGUGCCCCAUCUGCCCUCCAUAGUGGCUGGUGCAACCCAGGCCCUGCUGAGGCUCGAGGAUUCUCUCAGAGGCUCCUCUGCUAGCUUCUCCAUAGGAGGAACUCCAUGUGCUCGCUGGACCUGACCUUAUAAGAAGAGAGGAAGUUUAACCUGGCUACGACUACACGACCUCCUCUGGUAUGAGCAAAGAUGGUGGGCACAGGACUAAGGCAGGGGAGGGAGUUGUCCCACUUUCUACCGAUCUUGAGACAAGAUCUCUGGGGUUGGACAGGACUUGACCACAUUCCUGCUCUAGACCAGUUUCUCUGGUCCCAUGGGUCCCCGGCCCCACAGGUGCUGCUAUCUUGAGGAGCCUUUGGAGUUAGCCUGGUGUAGCCUGUGGGAGCCAGAGCCUGUCUACCAACCCCAGCACCACGAUCUCAUCAGUCCUCAGUGAUCCCGGAUAUCUCAAUGCCUUCCCUCCCCUUCUUGUACUAGCUCAUGGUUUAAGGGCUCCUAACCAUUUUUUAAGCCUCCCCUUUGGGGACAUGGGAGUUUUUGGUAAUAUCUGGGCAUCUGAUAUGACUUAGCACCUCCAGCCUGGACAGUCACUCAAUACAUAGGAAGCUGUGUGCCCUUGAAGAGCCAUACCCAAGUCACUGGCUAGGUCUACAUUCAAUUUCUCAUCACUGUCUGGUGGCUUUGAUCCAAGAACACCCUGAGUCUACCCUGGCAGCCAGCACAGUAUUCUAAUGCCACUGUGAGAGGCAAUGGCACUGGGCAUAACCGAAGGACCUAGAUGGGCUUGGAAAAGGUGAGUUUGCCAGAGAGAAUGGGUAUCCCAGGGGAACCACACAACAGCAGAGAAGCAGCCAAACAAUGUGGGAAGGGUGUCCUCAGAAGUCUGGAAGACCCACCGAGGCCUAGAUGUCAGCUAAUCAAAGGUCCUGGUUAAAUAUGAAAGGUUCAGUGGCCACAAGAGAGCAGUAGGUGAUUAAGCAGGUUCACAUAAGACCUACUUGAGGGCAGGAUAAAUGAGGCAGGCAAUAGGCCAAGUGGACAUGUGGGGCAGCCUGUCCUGGCUGAGGGCAAAUGGAGCUUGGGAAUGGGGCUGCUGAGGUAGCUCCGGGGUCUUAAACUCUUCUUGAGUAUGGCAGCACCUGCACUGACGGCCCUUGCUCUUGCUGACCAUUGGAACACUAUGUAACGUCUGGAGCUCUGAGUCGAGCCCUUCCCACCAGAUAGGCUAUGGAGUUAAGAUUAAGCAGAGAAGCAGUCCUGGCCUGUUGCACAUGUCUUGUGAGAGGCCAGAGAUAUACUCUGAGGCAUUUAAUAAAGAUAGGACUCAACAAAGACAAAAAUAAGAACAAUCACAGGCGCAGCUAGUCUUGUACAUAGUAAGAUAGCUCUACGGCGUCAUUCCAACAGUUCAGGUAGAAGUUUCUGGUCCUGGAGUCCGUGUCAUGGCGGAGGGCCUCCAAACCUGCAAGCAGAGACCACAUUGUCCCACCAGGAGCUCACUGAAGAACUCGGGGCCCCAGUGAACCCACAGUCUGGAGGGAAAAGUGAGCCCCACCACCCCCCUGGAAAGGCAUCUCCCCGCCAGAAAGCUCCUUCAAGUGUCAGGUAAAACAGGUCCCAGCCACCAGAAGGUACAAAGGCUCUGCAUGCUCACAUUUCUUAAGGGAGAUCACAUCAUUCUUUCUCAAGUACAGGCAUAGGUCAUUGAAAUAGUCCUGAAGCAAUGCCCCUGGGGUAGUCAAGGAAGUGGUUAGCAGUGGCAAUCCUUGUCCGCUGAAAGAGAGCACUGGCCAGCAGAGGCAUCCAAUCCUCUCACUGGCUAGAUCUACUGUGUCCCUGCAAUGGACCCAGGACCGUCCACUGUGGCAGCCGAGGCAGGGGAAUACCAAGGGUGGGGGUUGAGGCUGCUGGGUCAGUACUUACCGAUGAACUUCAUGGCUGCCAGCUUCACUGUCGUGUGGGAACUGUCCAGACACAUCAAGGCCUGACUGAGGAACUGCUGGUAGUUGCCGACAUUGCUUUCCAGCUGAGGAGGGAAGAAGAGAGGGCCUGUGACCAUAUGGAAGGUCUGUGUGCUACCUCACUUCAGGGACAAAGCUUUCCUGAGGGACCCCUAAGCGCCGAAUUCCACUUACAGUACCGAGAGCCUGAAAGAGAGGAAGGCAGGCAUCUGAGUCCCCUAGCAGAUGUGGAAGGGUAGCUGGUGCUGAUGGCCCAGUUCCUCCAUUUGAUCCAAUGAGGGGAGGCCAUGCCCAGGAUCUGGGAGCUCCCACAUUUGUAGCCCUUCCCAACAUCUCUCUGGAGACCCUCCAGCAUGCUUGUCCAUCCUUGCCUGAUUGUCAUCUCACCACAGACCAAAAGCUCUAUGUUCCACACUCCCAAGUCCCCAGGGUCCCCUGCAAGGCCCGUGUCAUGGAGAGGAGAGGCAGGCUCAUCACCAGCAACUUCCACAUCCUGCUCUUCUCUGCUGCUGAGAGAGCAGUUGCCUCCGGGGUUCUCUAGUGCUUACCUUAAGGUGCUGCUACCAUGCACUGCAGACACGACACAAGUGCCUGUGUCACAUAGAGGCUCUGCUGCUCCGCGCCCUUCAAUGGCAUUUCCAUUUCUAACUGCCCAGAUUCCUGUCCUCCCUGCCAUAAACCUUUCCUGUUUCGUGGGCCCUAACUGUACCUGAUACUUAAAGUUAGGGCCAUGUGAAACAGCUGGAGGCUGCAGUCCUGGGUUUCUCAAGGGCCAUGCUUCUAUUGUCACUGUCAUCAAGGUGCCGCAUGGUGCACUGCAUGGGACGGGUAAGCAGACUUGGGAGUUCAGUGUCCCCACCCUGUCUAAAGAUCACCUGGAGGUCUUUGCAGCCACAGUUCUAGGCUUGUCCCUAGUGGCUGAACCAGAAUCCAUUGAAGCCUGAAGACUGAGGACAGGCCUGUCCUGCCUUGCCCAUGUGACCUUGGUCCUAUUUGAGAGUCUGGAAUUAUGCCCCUGACAGCCUAGACCCAGGAGGGCAUAAGAACCUGGGGCCAAAUGUUAAACUGGUGGCUAGACACCAAGGGGUGCCAUUUACUGGCCUCCUACUCCUGGGCCCUGCAAUGUACAGACUCAGAGGCUCAGGUGUGUCUGCCUUAGAUAAGCUCUGGAACCCAAGGGGGCACUGUGUCCACAGAGGCCCUACUAGGGUGGCCUUGAGCACAGUCUAGGCACAUGGUGGAGACUCCCUUCCCUCCUGGACAGUGUAUUUCAGAGAAUGAGCUUCAUUGUGAAGAGGGAAAUGUUCCUCACAGAAGCCCAGUAAUUAAACUCCCUCCCUCAGGACCACCUCUCCUCCCCAUACACUACCCUCAGAGAGGUCUGGGGUGACUGCACAGCCAUCACAGCUCUCUGGUCUCAGGCCCUUCCCUGGAAAGGUGCUCAGGCCUUACCAUGUAGACAAAAAUGUCAUUUGCAGCGCCCAGCCCUUGACCCCACGCCAGCUUGCCGAACAGCUCCUUCCGGAACUCCCACUUUAGCAAGAUAGCACAGCGCAGGAAUGUGAACUUGGCCUUCUGUAAGUGGGGAACAGAGUGAGUGUCUCUGCUCCCACUCAUCAUCAUCCCUCUCAUCUCCGAGAGAUCUCAAGGAGAGAUCUCUGCAGCAGUGCUACCCCUGUCAGGGUGCUGACACUGACAGGGAAAGGUAUCACCAGAGGAAGGGGUAACUCACACCCAACGCAGGCUAUCCUGUUCUAAUUCACAUAGGACUUCCAGAAACGUCCUAGGCCUCUUUCUGAGAAACCAGCUUAGAGUACCAGUCUUAGAGGGGUGAAGCUUUAGUCUAGGUUUGGGAAGGGACCUGACUUCCCACAGUGGAUAUGAGCCUGUGCCACGGUUUAGUUGUUAAAUAUGAAGCCUUACUCUCAGAAGCCUAGAGGCCAGGCUUGACCUGUGGGUAGCAAAUAGAGACUGGCCUAGCCCUAGGGAGAACCAGAGGUGGAGGAUGGUUCCAGGAACUCAGGGUGCCUUAAAAGGCAUGGCCUAUAAAACGCAAAGUCCUUGUGACAUGGCUACUGUUUCAGGGCCACCCCAGGGAGAGUUGCGCGAAGUUCCUCUGAGGGGGUUGUGCCACUAGGCAGGCAGGAUACAAGUAGGGACUCCAGUGCAGCACAUGGUCACACCGCUGGCCAGGAGUUUGGGGGGGGGGUUGUCCUGGUGCUGUUCAUAUUCUGAUGUUAAUUCUGCUUCCUCAAGAGAGGUUGCCCCCAAAGAGCACUCAGGGGAUCUCAUGUGAACCUCCUCCCCAUUUUAACUGGUCAAUAAAGGCUGGAGCCUCUGAUUGGGCAGUCGGGGGAAAGGUGGGACUGGAGGUUUGAGAGUGGGAGCAGGUGGAGAGGGGAAGAGGAUGAGAGGGGAAGGAGAAAGGAGUGAAGAAGAGGAAGAAGCCACGAUGGACCUGAACCACAUGGCCAGGAGAAACCACAAGUAGCAAGGGGUCUUACAGCGGGGGAAUAAGUUAGUGUGGUGUUAGACCUGCCCAACCUAAGCAUAAAGCUUAUAAUUAUAAUAACUGGAUUGUGGUUUAUUAUAUGGAAUUAUUGGGGUUGGAAAUUCCAGCAACAGGGAGGGAGGAAAGUAGAGGUAGAAAGUUCCUGAGUGCUGGAUUUCUGCAGCUGAUUUUAGAUGGUGGCGUGGAGGUCUUCAGACGGAAGAGGCUGCCCAAGGGCCUGAUGGGAAGGGAGUGAUGAAUCUGAAGCAGGUGGUUGAGGAAACACCACCAAGAUGGAGCCCAUGCCUUUUCUCUGGCUGCUGCGGUGGCCUACAAACCCAGCCCCAGCCCUCUCUGUUGCCUAGGUGGCCUCUCCUGAACAGUCUCAGAGAGCUGAACCCUCAAGUCCUAUUCUCCUUCAGCCUGGCUCUCCUAGCUGCCCCAGCUGAACUGGGCUACACUCACCAUGGCUACUUCUUGGCAGGGAUCAGCCAUAUUUAAGAGGAGGGGUACUGCAGCCUGAGAAGCCAGGUCCUUGAGGCUCUGCUGAAGCUUCUUGCCACCAUAGUGGAUGACAUCUCCAAACAGGAAGAUGGCACCUUCCCGAACCGUUGCUCUUUCCUGGGGGGGAAGCAGGUCUCCUGCUCAGGCAUGCCACAGGCCAGGCUUCUCCCCCCUCCCUCUCUUCCCAUGACUUCUGGUUGCCUCACUUUGGUCCUGUGCUGUCCUUGUCCCUAACCCCAGAAGCCAAUGGCCGUUCAGUCCCUGAUUCCUGCUGACUUCUGUCCCAGGGCCUUCUCACUUUCCCAUUCCUUGGCUUCCUUCAUCCUCUGGUGAACGUCUUGGAUUUGUUUGUUCUUCCUAGCUUCUCGCCUCUGGGUUUCUCUGCAAGUCUCUGGAGGUGACAGCAGCCAUACCUCCAGUCCUAAGCAGACCCGACUGUUAGAUCUGUGACAUUCUAGCUUAAUGACCCUGGGUGAGGCUCUGUCCUCACACACUGUUUCAUCGUUAACAACAGCACCCUUGUCCUUGGGUUGAGGGGAGUGCAGAACCCAACACCUAAAGAGUGCCUGCUAAUGUCAUAAUUUCUCCUAACACUACCUCUGUCAGGACUCAGCCUCCCCUCUGUGAAAGACAUGCCCAAUCUGGGUCUACUCCCUCCUCAAUUCCAGAUGUGCAGUGGCCUGCCUGCCUACCUAUCCCAAGAGGGGCUCAUCCUAGCACCCAUCUCUCUGGUUCUAAUCCAUCUCAGAGGCCCCUUGUGGUGGUCUCCCUAUGACUGUCCACGCCAAGUUCAAACCUUCCUCAUUCCCAACCUCAACCUCCUGAAAUCACUGGGUCUUAUUCCACAAUAUGAGGAGUUCAUGUGGCUUUUAAAUGGAGUCAUUGGUCUUGAUGGCCUGGGAGGCAGAAUCCUGAGCACAGGCCUUCACAAACUUCAAAUUUUUAUUCUCAGGUGGUUCUGGGGAUGGAGCUGAGGAGGACAGGUACUAGUUUCUGCUUGCUAUCUGCAGCCCUGCUUUGUCCUGUCCUGCCACCCCAACUCCCUGCCCAGCUCACAUCUGUGAACAGGCUGAGAAGAUGCUGGGCAAUCUUGAGGCUGACAAUUCCGAUGCCCUGGACACCUAGACAGUGCAGGAGGUGGCCUAGGAUCUUCAUCAGGCCUGCAGGGUCCUGGAACUCAGGCUGUAGAAAGUUGUCCAACAGCUCCAUCAACCUACUUCUUAGCAGAGUUGCCUGCAGGGAGACCACCAUCCUCUAGUAGGGCCCUUGACCAGUGUCUGCCAGCUGUCCCAGUGAAGUAGCAGGUCAUAGCUUUGUGCAGCUACUGGCCUUCUCAGAAGGUAUUAUCUGCCCAUCUCUGAGUCAGUCCAGGUCGGGCAGAGGUCUGAGUGCUGAAGCUAGCUGUUCCCAAAUCCAUCCCCUACCUCCUCUACAGGAUGGACAGGAAAACAGACAAAACCAUAUUAGGUGUCUGGAAUAGGCCAAAUCUGCAGCUGCAUUCCAGCCCAUCAUGAGGACUAUCUCAGAGCAGGACUGCUCUGGGAGGUUCAAAAGGGUAGGAUAUUGGGUACCUGACAGGAGUUAUCAUACGAAGCAAUUAAGUAAGGCCAACCAGACCUGAUGGCCUCUCUACCACCCUUCCAGACACUGCCUUUGUGCUUAGCCCUCUCUGUGAUCCUCCUGAGAUGGCAGGAGGUUUAGUUCUUGAUUUCCUUCCCCCUCACCUUUUUAGGGCGCAUCAGAGUGCUGCUCAGGCCCUUCAGGCUCAUAGCUCGCACCAUCUGGUUGCGGCUGGAAAGGCCCAGGUUCAGGGAGUUGUACAUGGUCUUCCAAGACACAUAAUGGGAGGCAUCUGGGCUGUUGAGAAACUGGGCAGGGGUCGGCACCAUCAGCCCACCUGCUAACCCCAGCUGGCAAGGAAGUGGUCUGCCCCAUGCUAUGAGGAUGAAGUUAGACCUAAAGAAUCACAUCUACCAGCAAGCAGAGCUGACGCACAAGGGCCAGAUGUAUAUGCUUUAUAUAUCAGAAACCCUGGAAGGGAAGCCCACCUGGGUGGGUAGGGGACAGGCUGACCUCAAUGAUGAUGCAGAUGCCCACAAUGUUGUCUCGUUCUUCAUUGCUCUUCAGGGAGAUGAGAGCCUGCCCCAUGACAGCCUUGAUCUCGCAGUUAUAAUGAGCCAUGGCCCUAUCGCAUGCAAGAGCCAACCGUGGCCCAGGGCACAGUCUCUGAGUCAUGUCAGGAAAGGCAAAGCUCUCUCCUACUUUCACUGUGGAACUUUCAGUUCUGUUAUGGUCUAUGAUGAGGCAUCCGUAUAGAGUGGCAGCAGGAGUCUGUAGUCAAUUGGCUGGCCCAUCGAUGAGUACCUCAGACACCUACCUACUGAAGCCAUGCCUACCGGGUGAGAGGCUCACCAAGUGCAGGCCCCAGACUCCAAAACUGCACCGCCAGCUGAGACCAGGAAUCAGAGACCAGAAAUCAGAGACCAGGAAUCAAUCAGAGACCAGGAACCAGAGACCAGGAACCAGAGACCAGGAACCAGAGACCAGGAACCAGAGACCAGGAAUCAGAGACCAGGAACCAAUCAGAGACCAGGAAUCAGAGACCAGGAACCAAUCAGAGACCAGGAACCAGAGACCACGAACCAGAGACCAGGAAUCAAUCAGAGACCAGGAACCAGAGACCAGGAACCAGAGACCAGGAACCAAUCAGAGACCAGGAACCAAUCAGAGACCAGGAAUCAGAGACCAGGAACCAGAGACCAGGAAUCAAUCAGAGACCAGGAAUCAGAGACCAGGAAUCAAUCAGAAACCAGGAACCAGAGACCAGGAACCAGAGACCAGGAGUAGGCUCAUGAGGAAUGUUUGCCGCUGACAGAGAGGUGGGCUGCAGCAUUCAGCGUAAAGCCACGGUGCUUCCUUUCAUCUGUCCCCACAAAAAUUCAGCUGAAACCUCAAACUACAGAACUUCUAACAGAAAACCCAAGCAGUCUUUGUGACCCUGUGGUAAGCAAACUUCCUAGGCAUCACACGCAAGCAUAGACCAUAAAAGAAAAACCAGCAGACUUUUUCUAACCAGCAGCAACUUCUCUUCAGAAGUCACAACCCAGAGAAUAUAAGAGAGCCUGGACUUGGAGAGAAGAUUUUCAAAUGCCAACUACAGGCUUAUAGAUAGAGUGCAAGUGAAACUUUAAAAACUGCAUGGGGGGGAAGGGGGUUGGGGAUUUAGCUCAGCGGUAGAGCGCUUGCCUAGGAAGCGCAAGGCCCUGGGUUCGGUCCCCAGCUCCGAAAAAAAAAAAAAACUGCAUGGGGUGGGGGGACACUGGCAAGAUGCAUCAUGGGGAUAGAGAUCCUUGCUGUUAAACGUGGAGACCUGAGUUAAAUCCCUAGGACCCGUAAGGAGAGAAACCAUUUCCUCAAGUUCUCCUCUGAUCUCCACAUGUGCACCACAGUACAGACAAACAGACACACAAAGCAUGAAUGCAAAUAAAAGCUAGUUUUAAAAAACCUA